UCUUGACUAGUAUAUCGGUUAGUACACGCGCUUGUCAUACGCGUGAUCUGAUCUGUCCGCGCGAAAGCUGGGUUCGACUCCCAGGUCGAGAG